rnacentral:rRNA from 1 species
GCGUCAGAUGGUUAUAUGGGCCGGCCUUACUGACCGAUAGCGAACCAGUACCGUGAGGCAAAGGUGAAAAGCACCCCGACGAGGGGAGUGAAACAGUACCUGAAACCGAACGCCCACAAUCAGUUGGAGCAUCCUUGCGAUGUGACAGCGUACCUUUUGUAUAAUGGGUCAUCGACUUGGUCUAUCUAGCAAGCUUAAGCCGUUAGGUGUAGGCGCAGCGAAAGCGAGUCUUAAUAGGGCGCAUGAGUUAGAUGGAUCAGACCCGAAACCGAGUGAUCUAGGCAUGACCAGGAUGAAGAUAAGGUAACACUUAUUGGAGGUCCGAACCCACACCUGUUGAAAAAGGUCGGGAUGAGUUGUGCCUAGGGGUGAAAGGCCAAUCAAACUCGGAGAUAGCUGGUUCUCCCCGAAAUCUAUUUAGGUAGAGCGUCACAUAUUACCCUAGGGGGUAGAGCACUGUUAAGGCUAGGGGGUCAUCCCGACUUACCAACCCUUUGCAAACUCCGAAUACCAAGGAGUACAGCGUGGCAGACACACUGCGGGUGCUAACGUCCGUAGUGGAGAGGGAAACAACCCAGACCGUCAGCUAAGGUCCCAAAGUUACAGUUAAGUGGGAAACGAUGUGGGAAGGCACAGACAGCUAGGAGGUUGGCUUAGAAGCAGCCACCCUUUAAAGAAAGCGUAAUAGCUCACUAGUCGAGUCGGCCUGCGCGGAAGAUAUAACGGGGCUCAAACUGUACACCGAAGCUACGGGUUCACCGAAUGGUGAGCGGUAGAGGAGCGUUCUGUAAGCUGUUGAAGGUGGAUUGAGAAGUCUGCUGGAGGUAUCAGAAGGGCUAAUGCUGACAUGAGUAACGAUAAAGGGGGUGAAAAACCUCCUCGCCGGAAGACCAAGGGUUCCUGUCCAACGUUAAUCGGGGCAGGGUAAGUCGACCCCUAAGGCGAGGCCGAAAGGCGUAGUCGAUGGGAAACGGGUUAAUAUUCCCGUACUUCUUACAACUGCGAUGGGGGGACGGAGAAGGCUAGGUGGGCCUGGCGACGGUUGUCCAGGUUCAAGUGCGUAGGCUGAAGAGUUAGGUAAAUCCGGCUCUUCUUAAGGCUGAGACACGACGUCGAGCUACUACGGUAGUGAAGUCAUUGAUGCCAUGCUUCCAGGAAAAGCCUCUAAGCUUCAGGUAAUUACGAACCGUACCCUAAACCGACACAGGUGGUCAGGUAGAGAAUACCAAGGCGCUUGAGAGAACUCGGGUGAAGGAACUAGGCAAAAUGGUACCGUAACUUCGGGAGAAGGUACGCCGGUGGUUGUGAUGAGACUUGCUCUCUGAGCGACCGCUGGUCGAAGAUACUAGGUGGCUGCGACUGUUUAUUAAAAACACAGCACUCUGCAAACACGAAAGUGGACGUAUAGGGUGUGACGCCUGCCCGGUGCCGGAAGGUUAAUUGAUGGGGUUAGCUAACGCGAAGCUCUUGAUCGAAGCCCCGGUAAACGGCGGCCGUAACUAUAACGGUCCUAAGGUAGCGAAAUUCCUUGUCGGGUAAGUUCCGACCUGCACGAAUGGCGUAACGAUUUGGAAGCUGUCUCAUCCAUGAGCUCGGUGAAAUUUUAGUAUCGGUGAAGAUGCCGAUUACCCGCUACGGGACGAAAAGACCCCGUGCACCUUUACUAUAGCUUCGUAUUGAUAUUGGAUAAGUAAUGUGUAGGAUAGGUGGGAGACUUUGAUUAAGCGUCGCCAGGCGUUUAUGAGUCGCUGUUGAAAUACCACCCUUUGCUUCUCUGAUAUCUAACCCUUUCGAGGGGACAGUGCGUGGUGGGUAGUUUGACUGGGGUGGUCGCCUCCUAAAGAGUAACGG